UGCAAGAUAGCUCCGUCGGUAGAGCACGAAACCCGUAAUCUCAGGGUUGUGGGUUUGAGCCCCACGUUGGGCAA